rnacentral:rRNA from 1 species
CGUGAGUAACCUGCCCCUGACUUCGGGAUAAGCCUGGGAAACCGGGUCUAAUAACGGAUACAACGGUCCACCGCAUGGUGGUCCGUGGAAAGCUUUAUUGCGGUUUUGGAUGGACUCGCGGCCUAUCAGCUUGUUGGUUGGGGUAAUGGCCCACCAAGGCGACGACGGGUAGCCGGCCUGAGAGGGUGACCGGCCACACUGGGACUGAGACACGGCCCAGACUCCUACGGGAGGCAGCAGUGGGGAAUAUUGCACAAUGGGCGCAAGCCUGAUGCAGCGACGCCGCGUGAGGGACGAAUGCCUUCGGGUUGUAAACCUCUUUCAGCAGGGAAGAAGCGAAAGUGACGGUACCUGCAGAAGAAGCGCCGGCUAACUACGUGCCAGCAGCCGCGGUAAUACGUAGGGCGCAAGCGUUAUCCGGAAUUAUUGGGCGUAAAGAGCUCGUAGGCGGUUUGUCGCGUCUGCUGUGAAAGCCCGGGGCUCAACCCCGGGUCUGCAGUGGGUACGGGCAGACUAGAGUG